rnacentral:rRNA from 1 species
CCCGCUGAAUUUAAGCAUAUCAGUAAGCGGAGGAAAACAAACUAAACAGGAUUCUCUUAGUAACUGCGAGUGAACAGAGAUUAGCCCAACAUCGAAGCUCGCAAGCAUUUUGUUUGUUGAGCAAUGUGAUGUUAAGAUAUUUGCUUUCGUAGACUGGCCAACUUGAAGUCCAAAUUUGAAUGUGGCAUAUGUGUAUAAACCCAUAGAUGGUGAAAGGCCCGUUCAAGUUGGUAAUCAGACAUGACAGUUUGCGUGUAUGCAUUUAUCUUGGAGUCGGAUUGCUUGAGAGUGCAGUCCAAAGUUGGUGGUAAACUCCAUCUAAGGCUAAAUACCUGUACGAGUCCGAUAGUUAACAAGUACCGUGAGGGAAAGUUGAAAAGUACUCUGAAGAGAGAGUAAACAGUACGUGAAACUACAUGGAGGUUAAUCAGAUAGAGUCAAGCUGCUUACUAUUAAACAUUGCUUUACAUGUUUUGUAUAUGUAAUAAAGACAUGUACCAUAUGUAGUGCAUUUAUUUGCCAGUCUAUUUAUAGACGGGUGCUCUAUUGUAAAUAGAAUACCUUGCAUAUGUUAGUAUAUGUCAGCAUGUAUUGUUUAUGUUGAUAGUUAGUGCCACAAUCGUUUACUCAAUCAGAUAACUUUAAUCAGCUGUGUUCGAUUAGAUUGCAAAGUCUAACUGGACACAUAGUUAAACAGUUAGUAUGAUGACAUUUUAUUAUGUCUGUCUUACUAAAAAGGGCUACGGCCUGUUGGUUAAAGUUAUAGAAUCUGUGUUAGUAAUCGGUAAUACAUAUACAUGUUAAGUUUGUAUAUCAUGGUUUUGUAGCCUAAUGCAAAUUGGGGUAGCCAUGUGCAAACGUGUAUGUUAAUUGUGGUUCUGUGGUAGACUUUCUAUUUGACCCGUCUUGAAACACGGACCA